GACGAACGCUGGCGGCGUGCUUAACACAUGCAAGUCGAACGAGCGGCGGACGGGUGAGUAAUGUCUGGGAAACUGCCUGAUGGAGGGGGAUAACUACUGGAAACGGUAGCUAAUACCGCAUACCAUCAGAUGUGCCCAGAUGGGAUUAGCUAGUAGGUGGGGUAAUGGCUCACCUAGGCGACGAUCCCUAGCUGGUCUGAGAGGAUGACCAGGCACACGGGAAGUGAGACACGGUCCAGACUCCUACGGGAGGCAGGAGGGGGGAAUAUUGCACAAUGGGCGCAAGCCUGAUGCAGACAUGCCGCGUGUGUGAAGAAGGUCGUCGGGUCGUAAAGCUCUGUUAGUGGGGAGGCGGGACCUAAAGAAGAAGCACCGGCGAACUACGUGCCAGCAGCCGCGGUAAUAC
rnacentral:rRNA from 1 species